CCUACGGGGGGCUGCAGUAGGGAAUAUUGCGCAAUGGGGGAAACCCUGACGCAGCAACGCCACGUGUGGGAAGAAGCAUUUCGGUGUGUAAACCACUGUCGAGAGGGAAUAAAAAUGGGUUUCGGCCUAUCUGAAUGUACCUCUAAAGGAAGCACCGGCAAACUUCGUGCCAGCAGCCGCGGUAAUACGAGGGGUGCAAGCGUUGUUCGGAAUCACUGGGCGUAAAGGGAGCGUAGGUGGAAUUGCAAGUUAACCGUGCAAUCCCGGGGCCCAAC
rnacentral:rRNA from 1 species